rnacentral:lncRNA from 1 species
AAUAUUUUCUGCAGACAUACUUCCUAAUAGUUACAAUCUGUUUUUCUGAAGAUGCUUUAAGGCACAAAGAAAAAAUAUACAAACCAUAAACCAGAAUUUUGAAGAUACAUAAGGUUUGAGGCUUCAAAAGGUCAUGUAUUUCUGCAUUUUACUAGUUACCUAGUGUUUUUCCACAUUAAUAUUUUUUCCUCGAAAUUCCG